AUUGAACGCUGGCGGCAUGCCUUACACAUGCAAGUCGAACGGCAGCGCGGGGCAACCUGGCGGCGAGUGGCGAACGGGUGAGUAAUAUAUCGGAACAUGCCCAGAAGUGGGGAUAACGUAGCGAAGUUACGCUAAUACCGCAUACGAUCUACGGAUGAAAGUGGGGGACCGCAAGGCCUCAUGCUUUUGGAGUGGCCGAUAUCUGAUUAGCUAGUUGGUGGGGUAAAGGCCUACCAAGGCGACGAUCAGUAGCUGGUCUGAGAGGACGACCAGCCACACUGGAACUGAGACACGGUCCAGACUCCUACGGGAGGCAGCAGUGGGGAAUUUUGGACAAUGGGGGCGAACCCUGAUCCAGCAAUGCCGCGUGUGUGAAGAAGGCCUUCGGUU
rnacentral:rRNA from 1 species